rnacentral:rRNA from 2 species
UGGGGAAUAUUGCACAAUGGAGGGAACUCUGAUGCAGCGACGCCGCGUGAACGAAGAAGGCUUUCGAGUCGUAAAGUUCUUUUAUAUGGGAAGAUAAUGACGGUACCAUAAGAAAAAGCCCCGGCUAACUACGUGCCAGCAGCCGCGGUAAUACGUAGGGGGCUAGCGUUGUCCGGAAUCACUGGGCGUAAAGGGUUCGCAGGCGGAAAUGCAAGUCAGGUGUAAAAGGCAGUAGCUUAACUACUGUAAGCAUUUGAAACUGCAUAUCUUGAGAAGAGUAGAGGUAAGUGGAAUUCUUAGUGUAGCGGUGAAAUGCGUAGAUAUUAAAAAGAAUACCGGUGGCGAAGGCGACUUACUGGGCUCAUUCUGACGCUGAGGAACGAAAGCGUGGGUAGCAAACAGG